rnacentral:rRNA from 1 species
UACGAAGGGGGCUAGCGUUGCUCGGAAUCACUGGGCGUAAAGCGCACGUAGGCGGAUUGUUAAGUCAGGGGUGAAAUCCUGGAGCUCAACUCCAGAACUGCCUUUGAUACUGGCGAUCUUGAGUCCGGGAGAGGUGAGUGGAACUGCGAGUGUAGAGGUGAAAUUCGUAGAUAUUCGCAAGAACACCAGUGGCGAAGGCGGCUCACUGGCCCGAUACUGACGCUGAGGAGCGAAAGCGUGGGGAGCAAACAGG